rnacentral:rRNA from 1 species
AGAGCGCGGCGAAAUGCGAUAAGUAAUGUGAAUUGCAGAAUUCAGUGAAUCAUCGAAUCUUUGAACGCACAUUGCGCCCGCCAGCAUUCUGGCGGGCAUGCCUGUUCGAGCGUCAUUUCAACCCUCAAGCUCUGCUUGGCGUUGGGGCCCUACGGCUGACGUAGGCCCUCAAAGGUAGUGGCGGACCCUCUCGGAGCCUCCUUUGCGUAGUAACUUACUGUCUCGCACUGGGAUCCGGAGGGGCUUCUGGCCGUAAAACCCCCAAACUUUCCAAAGGUUGACCUCGGAUCAGGUAGGAAUACCCGCUGAACUUAAGCAUAUCAAUAAGCGGAGGAAAAGAAACCAACAGGGAUUGCCCCAGUAACGGCGAGUGAAGCGGCAACAGCUCAAAUUUGAAAUCUGGCCCCCCCGGGGCCCGAGUUGUAAUUUGCAGAGGAUGCUUUUGGCGCGGUGCCUUCUAAGUUCCCUGGAACGGGACGCCAUAGAGGGUGAGAGACCCGUACGGUUGGACACCAAGCCUUUGUAAAGCUCCUUCGACGAGUCGAGUAGUUUGGGAAUGCUGCUCUAAAUGGGAGGUAUAUUUCUUCUAAAGCUAAAUACCGGCCAGAGACCGAUAGCGCACAAGUAGAGUGAUCGAAAGAUGAAAAGCACUUUGAAAAGAGGGUUAAACAGCACGUGAAAUUGUUAAAAGGGAAGCGCUUGUGACCAGACUUGCGCCCGGUGAAUCACCCAGCUCUCGCGGCUGGGGCACUUCGCCGGCUCAGGCCAGCAUCAGCUCGCCGUCGGGGCCAAAAGCUUCGGGAACGUGGCUCUCUUCGGGGAGUGUUAUAGCCCGUUGCACAAUACCCUUCGGCGGGCUGAGGUACGCGCUCCGCAAGGAUGCUGGCGUAAUGGUCAUCAGCGACCCGUCU